rnacentral:hammerhead_ribozyme from 1 species
AUCUUGCUGACAAGUCGCAAACAGGACAAAAUGCGCGUCCUGGAU